rnacentral:sRNA from 2 species
GCAUCCGAAACGUGAAUACCCAUGUGGACAGGGGCGGGGAAACCACCGCGGAUCAACCCCGAUCCGCACCGGUCGGCCGUUCCUCCGGAACAGUCUUCCUCGGGGUGAAGCCUCACAGAGGCCGGGCACAGUGAUCCUCCGCCCGAACCCGACAGCUCACCUCGCAGGCGAUGACAUGAGAGGAACA